AUGGAUCUGGCCAUGGGGGCCAUGGGCUCCCUCCUCCCCAAGCUGCUCGAGGUCAUCAAGGACGAGUACAACCUACAGAAGGAAGUUAAGCAAAAGGUCGAGUCCUUCUCCACUGAGCUGGAAGCUAUGCAAGCUGCCCUUGGCAAGGUGGCAGAGGUGCCGCGGGAUCAACUCGAAGACGAGACCAAAGUUUGGGCUGACGAAGUUAGGGAGCUGUCUUACGAAAUGGAGGAUGUCAUCGACUCUUUCCUGGUGCGUGUUGUGGGCUGCGACCCCAACCCUAAUGAUGAGCAGAACAGGCUCGAGAAGCUCUGGGUCAGCUUCAAGAAGCUGUUUAAAAGGGGCAAGGCAAAACAUCGGAUUUCCACAGAUAUUGAAGAGAUUGACAAGCAGUUGCAAAAAGUCGCCAUCCGACACGAAAGGUAUAAAACUCCUAAUCUACCUGCAGCCACAAGGGCCACCCUUGAUCCUUUCUUGGAGGUUCUCUAUGGAGAUAAGAAGAAUAUCAUCGGCCUAGAGGAAGCAAGGAACGAUAUUAUCAAGAAGAUCACUGAGGGUGACUGUAAGCAACUCAAGACACUCUCUAUUGUUGGAUUUGGAGGAUUGGGCAAGACUACGCUUGCCAAAGAAGUAUAUGAUGCCCUUGCAACAAAAUUUGGACACAAAGCUUUUGUGUCUGUGUCUCGGAAUCCCGACAUGAGGAAAGUAUUAAGCGAUCUUCUCUUUAAACUUGACAAGAAAAUACAUGCUAGUCAUAAUGCAGAAAAUUUGGCAGUAGAGAAGCUCAUCAUCCUAAUUAAAGAAUUUCUUAGCAACAAAAGGUACUUUAUAAUUCUCGAUGAUUUAUGGGAUAAAAAAGCAUGGAAAGAAAUCAGUUAUGCACUUAUGGACGAUGAGUGUGGAAGUAUAAUAAUCACUACAACCCGCCAUGUUGAGAUCUCUAAGGAAUGUUGCUCUUCUAAAGAUGGUAUGAUUCAUAAGAUGAAAUCUCUCUCUGAUGAUGACUCACAAAAACUUUUCUAUGGAAGAAUAUUUCUAAGUGAGGUGUGUCCUUCUCGGUUUGAGAAAGUAUCCAAAGAGAUCUUGAAGAAAUGUGCAGGGGUACCAUUAGCCAUCAUUAGUCUGGCUAGUUAUUUGGCUAACAAUCAGAACAGAGACCAAAUUGAUCAAUGGGAAGCUUUGCUCACUUCUAUUGGCCGUGGACUUAAAAAUGGUGAUGAUCAUGUGGACGAGAUGAAGAGGAUAUUGUUAUUGAGCUAUUAUGAUCUCCCUUCCUAUUUGAAAACAUGCUUUUUAUAUCUAAGUAUCUUUCCCGAAGAUCAUCAAAUUAGCAGAGACCGGUUGAUAAGGAGAUGGAUUUGUGAAGGUUUUAUCCAAGUAAAAGGUCAAACCAGCCCACUUGCAGAAAAUCAACCUAGUCUCCUUGAGCUUGGAGAUGCCUACUUCAACGAGUUAGUAAACAGGAACAUGAUCAUGCCGAUAAACAUACAUGGUGGUAGGGUUGAAGCUUGUUGUGUACAUGAUAUAAUGCUGGAUCUUAUAUGUGAAUUGUCAAGCGAAGAAAACUUUGUUACUGUAUUGGACUUCAUCAAGGGAGACACACCUUCGGAAAAGAAGUUCCGCAGGUUGUCCCUCCAAAAGGGCAUGACAGAUCCCACCACUACUCGGAUGGCUACCACAAGCAUGUCACAAGUGAGGUCUUUUACCACUUUUAGUCCCUCUGUCAGUAAGAUUCCAUCUCUUUCUAGAUUUCAAGUUUUGCGUGUAUUGGAUCUGGAAGGUUGUGAUCUUCAAAAAAUCCCUGGCAUUGACCUUAGUCAUGUUGAGAAGUUGUUACAUCUGAGAUAUCUGGGGUUAAGGGGCACAAAGGUUGGCAAGCUCCCUAUGGAAAUAGGAAAGCUACGGUUUUUGCAGACACUAGACUUGCAAUUGACCAAUUCAAAACAAUUGCCGUCCAGUGUUGUUCAGCUGAGGCAUUUGAUGUGCCUAAUCCUUGAUUUUGAUAUGCCACUACCAAAAGGGUUCAGCAACAUGACAUGCCUUGAACAGCUGAUGGGGCACAAUAUGGGCUUUGUUUCUGAAGAAACUGCAAAAGAGCUGGGCCAUCUGAGCAGGUUAAGAGAGCUCGCCUUUAGAUUUGAUUCAGAUAUUGGCGAGGGAGUUGAUGAAGCUAGUAAAGCUCUGAUUGGAUCCCUAGCCAAGCUAUACAAACUCGAGAGCCUGGAGAUCUCCUCUCCUAAGUAUUGGUUUGACAAUGUCCUUAUGGAUUGGGUGCCGUCACAAAACCUACAAAGGCUUAGAUUGUACGGAAAAUUCAGGAGGUUGCCUACAUGGAUUUGUUCUUCGUCUCUACCUCUACUCUCCUACCUUGAUCUAACUGCCAUAGAAGUGCGAUCCAGAGAUAUCCAGAUCCUUGGGAUGCUGCCGGCUCUCCGUUAUGUCUCCCUUGACACACGCAGUACCAAAGUAGUGGUGCAGAAGCUAGUGGUUAGCGCCGGUGCCUUCCUACAGGCGAGGGUAUGCCUUUUCCAAGGAAUUAUACUAGUGAACCCUACGUUCCAGCACGGAGCUAUGCCAAUGGUUCAACGCCUCCGCUUCGGUCUCCGAGUGAAUGACAUCAUCAGUCCCGACUUCAAUUUGAGCACACGGAACCUUCCUUCGCUACAGCAACUCAGAAUUGACCUUCUCGAUUAUGAAAUCAAACCUGAGGAUUAUUCUCAAGCCAUGGACGCGCUGAGGCGUGUGGCAGAAGGCCAUCCUAAGAAUCCCACCCUUCGUGCUGAUAAAUUCAUUUGA
rnacentral:rRNA from 1 species